rnacentral:rRNA from 1 species
GAUGAACGCUAGCGGCAGGCCUAACACAUGCAAGUCGAGGGGUAGAGGAAGCUUGCUUCCUUGAGACCGGCGCACGGGUGCGUAACGCGUAUGCAAUCUACCUUUUACAGAGGGAUAGCCCAGAGAAAUUUGGAUUAAUACCUCAUAGUAUUUUCGAAUGGCAUCAUUUGAUUAUUAAAGUUCCAACGGUAAAAGAUGAGCAUGCGUCCUAUUAGCUAGAUGGUAAGGUAACGGCUUACCAUGGCAACGAUAGGUAGGGGUCCUGAGAGGGAGAUCCACCACACUGGUACUGAGACACGGACCAGACUCCUACGGGAGGCAGCAGUGAGGAAUAUUGGACAAUGGGCGCAAGCCUGAUCCAGCCAUGCCGCGUGCAGGAAGACGCAUCUAUGGUGUGUAAACUGCUUUUGUACGGGAAGAAACACUCCCUCGUGAGGGAGCUUGACGGUACCGUAAGAAUAAGGAUCGGCUAACUCCGUGCCAGCCGCCGCCGUAAAAC